rnacentral:rRNA from 1 species
UCAUAUGUAUAUGCCUAUAACAUUAGUGUACUAGAUCCCAUUAGGAAUAUACAAUUAAGUGCUCUUGGGAUAGAGUAGUACUCGGGUGGGUGACCUCCCAAGUAGUCCUAAUGUUUUACAUGCC